rnacentral:rRNA from 1 species
GACAGAGGGGGCAAGCGUUGCUCGGAAUCACUGGGCGUAAAGGGCGCGUAGGCGGGAUGGCAAGUCAGUCGUGAAAUCUCUCGGCUCAACCGAGAAACGUCGGCUGAUACUGCCGUUCUUGAGGGAUGCAGAGGAGACUGGAAUUCCUGGUGUAGCGGUGAAAUGCGCAGAUAUCAGGAAGAACACCCGUGGCUAAGGCGGCUCUCUAGUACGGUACUGACGCUGAGACGCGAAAGCGUGGGGAGCGAACAGG